GUUGCCGCGCUGAUGAUUACCACAGUGUCGGGCACACGGAGAACGCUCUUAAACAGCAAUUACUACCACUACUCUGACCGACCACCACGUGAAAGUAACUAGGGUAACUCAAGUGGCGCGCACAAGACCAACCAGGGACGGGAAAACGGAUUCGGUGGGGCUAAUCACGGCAGCCCGCUCCAGGACGCGGGCGAGAGCUCUGAACGCGCAAAAUUGCUUAUCUGCUUCAAGGCUGCUUUUUUAAAGCAAGGAUAACAUAACAGAACCUGUCUCGUGGAGCUGUUGUGAGGAGUAAAUGAAGUUCAGCAUUUAACAGAGCCCGGCACACAGGACACAUUCUUUCAAACUGUUACUAUAUUCACUGUCUGCUGAAUUUGCUGAGCCCAGGAACUGUCCCCAAAAUACACAAAUCAAGACACUGA